CUAACAGGAUUCCCCUAGUAACUGCGAGUGAAGCGGGAAAAGCUCAAAUUUAAAAUCUGGUGGUCUUUGGCCAUCCGAGUUGUAAUUUAGAGAAGCGUCUUCCGCGCUGGGCCGUGCACAAGUCUCCUGGAAUGGAGCCUCACAGAGGGUGAGAAUCCCGUCUUUGGCAUGGACACACCAGGGCUUUUGUGAUGCGCUCUCGAAGAGUCGAGUUGUUUGGGAAUGCAGCUCAAAAUGGGUGGUGAACUCCAUCUAAAGCUAAAUAUUGGCGAGAGACCGAUAGCGAACAAGUACCGUGAGGGAAAGAUGAAAAGCACUUUGGAAAGAGAGUGAAACAGUACGUGAAAUUGUUGAAAGGGAAACGCUUGAAGUCAGUCGCGUCGACCGAGACUCAGCCUUGCCUUGGCUUGGUGUAAUUCUCGGCUGACGGGUCAGCAUCAAUUUUGCCCCUUGGAUAAUGAUGAGGGAAAUGUGACACCUUUAUGGUGUGUUAUAGUCUCUUGUCGCAUGCAAGGGUUGGGAUUGAGGAACUCAGCACGCACCUUUGGGUGUCGGGGUUUU
rnacentral:rRNA from 1 species